GCAGGGGAGGCCCACUUGUCCUUUUAUGGUAAGAAAAAUCCAGCUCCUCAGAGGGGAGCUGGGCUGGGGCCUGUAAUUCUGAUUGAAGCCCAGCCUUGGGGUCUGGGGGGGACUAGGUGGGAUUUCCUGGCCAGGGUCCUCUACUGUUGAUAAAGAGCAGGAGGAAGCCGAGGCAGCAGGGGCUGCCCAGGGAAGCCCCGUGGUCCCGGUGGAUCCCUAGUGCUCGUGCUCGGGAGGAGGAGCUUAUAGACAUCUGGUGCACAGGAAACUGAGUUCCAGACGGCGCCGCCGAGAGAGAUUCUAGGCUCCCCGAGCAGGAUUUUGACCCAUCAAGGUAAAUCGGCGACUGGGUCUGCUUGUGAGUGGCUUUUGUGUCCACUACUACUACUGUGGAGGGAAGUGUGGUCAGUGGAAAAAGCCCUGAUGUGGGUGUCAGGAGACCCAAGAUCAACUUCUAGCCUGGGCAUAGCUCACUGUGUGACCUGGAGCCAUCUGCUGACCCCUUCUUAUCUCAGCUUCUCUCACUGGGGUGAUGUCAAAAGGUUGCCCAGGUUUUCCUCUCUCUGGGAAUUUAUAGCUGGAAAGUGAAGCUUGGGCUUAGAAUACACAGGCAGCUGUUCUCUUCCUGGGCCAAGCUGGCUAAGUAAAAUCUAAGAUGGUUGGAGACAGAUACAGAGGAGGCCCAAUGGGGCAGACUGUGGAUCAAAUCCCCAGCUUCUCUUGCUGGUCUGGCCCUGCCCCUCAUUCCACACAUGGAGGCCAGAGGUCAUGUUCAAGGUCAUCUGGAGAGUUGAGGCAGAGCCAAGAAUAGAACCCAGGGCCUCAGGUCCCAGCCUUGGGCUCUCUGCUCUUUGGGAGGCCUCCCACUGCAGUCCCCAUGCUGUUGGCAGCUGCCUCUGGCCAUGUAAAGGGCUCCCCGUACAGUCUGCCACCUUCCAGCUACCUCUGACCCCAGAGCCUGGCAGGCACCACCCUCAGUGGUGAAGAGUGUAGCACCUGCCUAGAAAGCAAAGACGAAGCAGAGGAUGAAGCCACUCUGGCACGGUGGAUUUGGGGAAGGCUCUGCUCACCACCAGGGCUCAGUUUCUUAUCUGCGACCUGAGGGCAGAGGCUCAACUCACUCUGAGGCCCCUUUAGCUCUGGAAGAACUCAGAUGCUAUGAGUUUAGGGUGAAUCCCAGGAACAUUUAUUGAGCAUCCACCAGGUCCCCGGGGUGAAUGUCAUGGGGACAGCAGUUCACUUUAGCUUUACCGCCAGUGUGAGGCAGGAACUCCCCAAAUGCCCAUUUCCGGGACCCUUCUGUCUCUAUUCUAGGACCCCUGGCUGACUGUCUGAGCCUGGCUUGAAGCUAGGCUCAGGCAAUGCUGGGCACAGGUGUCCAGGGCUGCCUGCUCACCUGCUCAGUGUUCAUGCCCAUUGCCCUGGCACCCUUAUCAGGCCUGGCACACCCCUUGCCUUGUCUCAAAUUUCUGUCCACAUCCCUGGGUCCUGGAAGGAGAAGGAUGCCCCAGUCAGCACCGCACCCCCGGUCUCUCUGGGCUCUGUCUUCUGUGACUCAUCCAUUGAGAAGAGCUACUUUCUUUUCCAGUCUCCUGUGACACCCCACCCCCUGCUGGGGUAAAGCAUCUUGGUUCUAAAUUAGAAGCUGCCCAGUGACCCUCCUGGAAUUUCCACGCAGACUCUCUGGAGCGUGUGAACAGGGCUCCAGGGAGCUCAGCCCGCUCAGGCUCAUUGCUGCAGGGCUGAAGGCCAGCAAUUGAAUGGUCCCCUGGGACUUCUGCCUCACAGUCAGAUUCCAGGUCUCCUGGGAAGGGCAGUAGGCAGCAGUGGGGUGACAGGAAGUGGGAGGUAGGGGCCCCAAGAGAUCCCUGGGCAAAGUCAGGGCAGCAUUGACGUCACACAUCAGGCUGGAAUCUGACAUGCAGGCUGCUGGGGAGGUGAGCAGCCCAACUGUCCCACUGCAGCUACAUCUGGCACGUGAAGCUCCAGGCAGGUGAUAGGAAAGGUCACAAGGCCUCUGAUGCCUGCCUCCUCACUAUGGCAUCCCUGCUAAUCUUGCACACUUUUUGUGGCGGGGAGCUCACCACUUCCAAAUCACCUUAUUCUGUCUCCCACACACAGGCUAUUGGAGACUCCUUCCUAACACCCGGCUGCUAUCUGCCUCUCUGGCUUCUCCUGCCUCUCUUCUGGGGCUGUAAACUUCCUCAGAAGGCUUUGAGAGGUUGGAAGUUGGUGACUGCAGCCCUUGGGCUUCCUACCUCUCCUAACCAUGUGGUCCCCUCUCCCCACUGCUUGACAUCUGAGGAUUCCCAAUGUCGAGAUUCUCAGGACUCCACUGAUGGGGGCUCUUGGCUGAUGGAUUUUUGGGGAAAGGAGACAAGUAGGUUAAAGAAAAGGACUGAAAGAUUCCAAAGAGAACUUUCUACAACUCCUUCCUCUUCCUCCUCUUUCUCCUUCACCUCCUCCUCCUCCUUCUUCGAGGUACUGGAGAAUGAACCCAGGCAUUUGAGCUACAUCCUCAACCCACUGUAUUUUUUAUUUUUGAGAUAGGGCCUCAUGAAUUUGCUAAGUUGUCCAGGCUGUGCUUGAGCUCUUUAUCCUCCUGCCUCAACCUCCCAGAUGCAGACGUGCCUCACCAUAUUUGGCUUUGCCCAGCUUCUGAGGCCUUGGUUCCCAGUUGUCUAAGCCACUCCACAACACAGGCCUUUAGGAUUUUGUCAACCUCCGAACUUAAGGUCAACACUGGGUUCCAGCCAAUGGGCUUCUGCAUUGUUCUCUGCAAACGUCUUUGUAGUCCUCCCUCUCUACCUUUGCUUUCCGGACUGUCCACCUGGCUGUGCUCCUCGCCAUCUGUCCAGGGCAUGCUGCUGCCCUCACUGCCUCCACCCACAGCCUUGUUAACCUCUUGGGAAGUCUUGGCAUCCACCAGCACACAUGACAUGACCCGAGCUAUCCCCCUUCCAUCCCAAACAGUGGGCCUCAGGCCUGAAGGGCUGGGGUGGGGUGUGGGGGCACUUCCUCAAGUCUCAGAGGAUGCCAGGACUCAGCUGUCUCUUUCUUCCUCCCCAUCUCAUUCAUGUAUCUCAGUGGCUGCCCUCAGCAUCUGGGGGUUGCUGGUCAUGUGUCCGAGGUUUGGCUGGCUCUGAGAAUGCUGACCAGAGGCCUCUGAGCCAGGCAGCACAGUCUAGGGCGGUGCCGUGGUCUCUGCGGCUGCCACUGUGAGGCCAGCCGGCCCCUUCUGGAGACUUUGCCCCAUCAGGAGCAAAGGAAGAGAUGAGGGGCGGAAGUUAGUGGCAGCUGGGCAACAUCCCUAUUAAGCCUGUGGGUCCAGUGUGCUUUCCAGGUUGGAGCUUCCCUCCCUGAAGUACAGCUUGGGUCCAAGGAGGGCUCUCUGAGGCCUAGGGGUCUAGGCUUGCAGCAGGGUGGGGCUCCUGGGGAGGGGCCAAAAUAUGGCUGUUGUCCUCAGUCUUGGUCUAGCCCACUUCUUCAAGUCUCUGACAGGUUGGGGGCAGGUGACAAAGGGUAUCCCAGGGCUGAUGAGGCCCCAAGUGGACUUGGCCCACCCAAACAACACCCCUGUUUCACAGCUGAGGCACAGAGGGUCUCUCUGUAGGAUGCCCAAGGUUCCACAGCUGCUGCGAGGCACAUGCAGGAUUCAGCUCAGGCCCCCACCUCGAACCUUUGGCCUACCGUGUCUUUAUCUCACUCUCAGCACAGCUGGAUGUCCACAUGCUCCCUUCAUCUCAAGACAUGGGGAGAGAGAGCCUGGUUCUAGACUCAGCCUUGUCUCCUUGGCUAACAAAAGCGGAGCCUGAAGAGGUCCAGCUUGCGGGCUGGGAAAAUGGGUGUCUGUGCUGCAAAAUGGGGCAUGGUCUGAACCGGAGAAAAGGCUUCUGGUGGGGAAGUGCUGCUGCCAAUGAGCCUCUUUUGCAAUCAGCGAGUGGCUGUCCUGAGGCUCCCGAGAUGUGUGGUGAGGCCAGACUGAUGACCCCAUGGGGCCUGUCUAGACAAGCUGUUAGCUGCCGUGGAAGCUAUGGUGGGCUCUUUCUCCGACUCCUGCAGCUCACUGCCCCAGGCAGCUCUGAUCAGACUGUGGAGACUGUGUACUGCUCGGGUGGGGGGCCACGUGGGUAGGGCCCACUCCCACUCCAGGGCCUGCCAAGUGUCCAUGAUUCAGAGGCUUAGCCACUUGGCACAUGUAAGGCCGAUUUCUAGAUGCCCACAUGGACAAGAGUGGAGCAUCUUGCAGAACACACACAAGCAUUUUAUUUCCAGUUCUUCCUUCCUUUUAGGGGUAGGUGCUAGGGACAGAACCCAGAGCCUGGCUCAUCCUAGGUAAGUGCUCCACCGCUGAACUACACCCACAGCCCUUUCCCUUACAGUGUUUAUUAGAGAAACGUGACACAUAUGAAAUAAAGUGGGUAACACACACGCUUCAUGAACUCUGGUCCUUUCUAGCAUGGUCAGGAAGAAGGGAAUGCCAUAUACUGCUGGGGAGUGGGAGGAGGUUCACUUGGCCACUCUGGAAAAUAAUCAAGUAGUUUCCUGCACACACCCAGUAAUCCCGAGACUGCGGCUUCUGUGCACCAGGAGAUGAGCACAAAAAUGGACAUAAUGCAGAAACUCCUUUAUAAUGGAUCUUUGAACCACUGGAAGCCCUGAUCAGGCCCACAGACCAUUCUGUUGGACAAUGGCAGGAGGAGGAAGAGUCCAGCAGAGCCCAGUGUGGGGACCUCAGAGACCAUCUCAGGGAGCCCCUGGGGUACACGGCAGUGACAGCUCAGGCCUUGAACCUUCCACUCCUCAAGACUUUGUGCAUUUCAUCUGCUCUUCCCCAGAACUGGCCCAGGAGGAAAAGGCUGCUUUAGUCCUCAGGGUCUCUGUGCGGAGCAGCAGAUGAGGUGGCCUCAGAGCAAGAGGCUUGGUCAAGCCCUGGGUGCCCCUCUCUGACUUAGUCUUCUCCAGAGGGUGAGGUGGGCUUCCUUAUCACUGCACCCAUCUGGAGACCCUUAGCAGGCAGGAGAAGGGCAUAUGGGUUGGGGCUCCAGGCUGGGGUCAAAUCCCCCUCGCUAUAUUUGAGUUAUGUGACCUGUGGCAAGCUAUAAUGGCUUCCUUCUUUAUACACCGGUGAUGACAUGGUCAUGCUGAUUCCUUCCUCUUAAUAAUCCUGAGAAUUUCAAAUGAUAACACAAAUGGUUCAGCCCAGUACCUGGCUCCUGGGAAGUUUCCCAUCCAUAUUUUGUCCCCUUCUACCAGGUAUAUUGAAGGUUCCUCGGGAAUUUCAGGGUGGGUGAGGGGCAGGGCAGGAGCCCAGAGACUCCUGGGGAAGAUAGCAUCCUGGGGAAGCACACACAGUAUCUAAGUUUAACAAGUAAUGGUGUGAUCUUAGGCAAGCUACUUAACCCUUCUGCACCUCCACUAUCUCAUCUGAGCAAUAGGGAUACUUCCACCUACUUCACAAGGUCUCGUGAGGAUUAAAUUAAUUAGUUCAUAUAAAGACACUGAGUAGUUCUGGGAUCGCCUCUAUGCCAUGCAAAAGAAUGCAAUACAUUUCUCCCUAAUUGUACCAUCUCCAGGAACCCCUGGCAGGGCAGAGAUUCAGGUCCUGUUCCCUCUGCCAUCAGUCACUGUAUAACCUAUGGCUGUACAUCCUCUUGGGUGCUUCAGCUGCCCUGGGUCUGUUGAGGGUCCUAGGAUGCUCUACAGCCCAAGCCAUGAAAGGUCCUGGGGUCUAGCCUGGAGAUUCCUGGGCCCUGCCUGGGGUCCCUGCCCCUGAGUGUGCAGUGCUUGGGCCCCACAUCCUGGAGAUACCUGAUCCGCUUGUGCAUGCAGGGAUGGGGCCACACUUGGCUCUUAGAGUCUCAUACUGACUGCCCUUCACCCCUCACCUCUGCUUCCAGAUUCACCUUCCCUCUUCCUGCCGGAGCUGGUCCUCCCCUCAGUGGCCCCAUUGUUCCAUGCCUCAGUCUCAUCUCUUCUUCCCUCUAAACAUGGCUGCUGUCAUCUUGCCCCACAAGAGGAGCCCACGCUCACAUCACUUCCCUCUAGCUAUGUUUCUCGAAGCCAUUAUUUGAAAACUAUUUUCCUUACCAGGAGCCCCAGGCUCUUAGAACUGAAACCAAAACCUCACACAAGAAGGGAGAGCACUGUCCACAUAGAAUCCCAAACUUGGGCACAGAGGGCAAGUUUGGGCAUUGACUCCGUCCACUCCCUCUGCCUCUGUCCCCAUGGUACCGCAGCAACACGAAGACCUCAGAGCCAACAGAACUGUGGAUUAGAGCCAUCAGCCUGGAUGAACGCUUAGAGAUCAUCGAAUCCAACCCCUGUCCAGAUAGGGAAACUGAGGCCCAGAGAGGCAGAAGGCACAGAGCAGUUAGCAAGAAAGCAAGGACAAGACCUCCAGAUGCAACCUCCUGGGGAGGAGGAUGCACAGCCCCGUUCAUGGCCCCGUGUCUCAGCUCAUUCUUACCUCGCCUGGAGUCUGGUCCAGACAGAUUCCAUACAUGUGCACAACCCUGGAGCGCAAGUGAAAGGGCAGGAGGCCUGUAACCCCCCACUUCCUGCCUGUGCGAUGUGUCCCAGUUUAAUACUCGGAAGUGCCACCAAAACAGCCCAGGGCACAGGUGAAGUGAGCCCAACGGAACCACCAUGGAGAUUCCACUGUGCAGACAGAAACUGAAGUUAUGCCAGUGUCUCAACAUCCACACCCAAGAUGCUUCAUCAUAACAGAUGCAAGCUGUGGAGAGACCCAUUUUAACAACCCAAGAGCCCCGACCUGCGGAGGACUCGAGUCAGCUCCGUCUGGGAGUCAGUGGGCUUGGUUAAGAGAGGUCAAGGCAAAGGACUGGAGAGACCUGCUGCAGGUCGCAGGAGGACAGAAGAGGGGUAUCCCCCACACCAAAAUAUCCCCAAAGAAUAACUAAAUGACAGCCUUUCAGGACUUGGGCUCCAUAAAUUUGUCUCGAACAUUUCAGAAGCAGUUUUUCUUUCUGUCUGUGUGGUCUCUUGGGAUUUCUGAGCACUUUACAUCUAUGAGCCACUAUGUGAAGGGGCUUUUCCUUCCAGACUGUGAAGAAGCAGCCCUGAGCCCCCUCCAAUCCCCGGGGGAGACAGGGCCGCAGCCUUAGUCUGUGUGAGCAGGGAUUCAUGGAGGUAAGGGGAGACUCUCGUUAGGAGCCAGGUAGGAGAGUGUGUUUGCCUUGGAGAGUUCUAUGUCCUCAGAAGGUGGCAGUCAAGGGAAGAGGGACCCAUCCAGGAAGGCGAGGGGAGCUGGAGAAGAGACAGCCACCUGACCCUCUACAGGGUAACCAGACCUCCAUGUAGCCAGGCAGGGUGGCACCUGCCUGUAAUCCCAGCAACCUGGGAGGCUGAUGCAGGAGAACUGCAAGUUGGAGGCCAACCUAAGGGACGAAGGCCUGGUCUCAAAAUAAUUAAAGAGGGCUGGGAAUGUAGUUCAGUGGUUUAGCAACCUUGUAUUCAAUCCCUAGCCACACCCCCCUCAAAAAAGCUUCAGUUGGUACAGUGGGAACCUUCAGGAAGGUGGACUCUACACCCGCAUAGGAAUGACUGAAUCAGUGGAGACAUGCAGGGUGAGAUGGGCCAAGGGGCUCUCUUGGUAAAGUGGUAGGUCGUGCAAGCAGAAGCUGGUUGACAACUUGGCAAAUCCUUCCAUCCCUGAGACCCCACAAACUUUACCUCAUACCUUGUGUUCUGUCCCGUCUCUAGCCCUGACUUCACACCCAUUCUGUCCAAAAGACACAGCUCAGAGGGGCUCAGCUGGUAAACAAUUAUGUACUGGACUAGGCCGUAACCCUUGUGUUAAAAAUUAAGCUCCGCAUGUUCUUUUCAAAGAGCACAAAACGUGUUGAUGGAGCUUGAACCUGGGAG
rnacentral:lncRNA from 1 species